GGUCCCUCCCAUUGCCUUCCUUGCACUCCCACCAGCCAGCAGCCAGGCUCCGCCAGGAACUCAGAGCAGCACAGAGCAGAAAGACCCACUGCCAGCCCUGACCACGCAGCAGGGGCAGCUGAUUGGAAGAGGAAACGCGUUCUUAAAGGAGAAGUCUUUUGCUGCUUCUCAGGAUCUGGCUUCUGUGUAAAAUGACACACAAAGAAACUCUUGCAACACGUACACAGUGAGGAAUUUCGAUUGGGGAAGUACAGAUAAGUGGAGACAGCUCUGAACCAAGCUGGAAAAGCUGCAGAUCCUCAAGUGCAUGCCAUGAGAUGAGAGCAACAGGCAUGUACUAGGAGCUAGGGGAAGAAACAAAACUAACCACCACCCCUGAGGAGCUGAUGAACUCUGCUUAAACUUUUUAUUUGACGUAGAUAAUCUACAUGAUUUUAACACUUGACUUCUGAGGAGGGAGGGGAAGUGAAUGACUGCCAGCAUAGCGAAUGGACUCCUGUCAGAAAAGGGAGAAUCUGGAGUAACUGACCCUGAAUGGAAAAAAGAAACUGCAGUAUUUGAAAGGGGUGAAUUUAACUCAAAAAUAUCAAAACUCAGAGGAGCCAAAAGCUCUCCUUUUACAUCCUUACUACUGUCAUGCCUCUUAGAUCUAUUUUCAGUACUUCUCAUUCACAUCACAUGAGGAUAUAAAACGGUGGCAACGCACUUUAAUAAUCUUAAAUCUCAGAGGUGUUGAGAGCUGCUGUGAGCCCACAGCUCCACGUCUGAGCAGCAGCAGUGCUUGGUGCAGAGCUGGGAAUGCUCCUCUAUGGACUGCUUCCUGCUGCCAACCUGAAGAACAGUGAUCAGGGAUUACAACUUAUCAGACUGAGACAAACCUGCAUUUGAUUUACCGAGUAAAGCUUUCCAAUGCUUCUCAUCGAGGUCCUUUCAUCUCCUCCUGGCUCACAUACAGCCAAAUGCUGCUGAACCCGAGAGGCCUUUGUCAUCCUGUGCAGAAGAUGGGAAGCAGCACACCAAGGUUGCACAGAAUGCAGUGGUGCUGAGCAGGGCCACUGCGCAGGGGGCAAAUAUUGCCUGACCCAACCUGCACAGCUAGGAAAGAUGAAUAAAACAGGAAAAUAUGGGGCAGUUUACUAAAGGUUUAGUCUAGAGUUUGCCCAAGUAAGGCUGGCAACCUGAAACUGAUGUAAAAAUAGUGCCUUUUUUUUUUUUAAACAAAACCAGAGCCAAUCAAAACCACGUAACAGAUCCACUGAACUUCAGGUUGUUGCUGUGUUGCGUUGCAACAUUUUGAAACUUCCCAGAACAACGCUUUUGUCUGCAGGACGGAGCCAUUUGCGCAAGGCAGAGAUAUGUCCUGCUGCUGGGAGCUCCGUGCACACAGAGCUGCAGAGGUCAGUGCUCCUGGGCAGGCAGGAGCAAGGUGCUACACGUGUGUGCACAUACAGAGCAAAAUGCACGCGCUUAUUUAUUAAAUGGUACCACCAAACCCUUCAGCAAGAGAAAGCUGUGGUUGCAAACAUGUCAAAGCAAGGAAACAGAAAAAGUAGGCAGUGCAGCUCUUCGGGGAAGGGGGUAUGGAAGAUGGGGAGUCUGCAGACUGGAAUUUUCCUGGCUCUGAUGAUUCUAUGGUGGAGACAGGUGAAGCGAAACCUGAGUAGGGUAACUUUAGCCAGAGAGAGUGAGAUAGAAAUAAACAGUAUUAUUCCUGGAAAGAAGGGGUAGUAGCUGUCCCUCUGCCAAAGUGCACUCCAGUCCAGAGCCUAUUAGCGGCGGAUUCCUUCCUGCGCUCCACCUCCCAGUGCCAGGGCAACGGUCCCAGGUUUUGACGUCAAAGCUGCCUUUUGUUUGUUGCACAGACCUUCCCCUUGCAGGCCGAGCAGACUGCAGCGCGGAAGCAGCGAGGCAGAGGGCUCUGCUGUGCCCAGAGCUGCUCUCACCACAAGACUCCAAGGAUGGCCCUCUUCCCGCAGUACCAACUCCAGCCCUUCCAGUGGAAAGAAAAUAGAGUUCAAUAGCAAGAUCUGCCAAGCGAGGACUCUUUCCACACACAUGAGACAAGACUAUAAAUCUGCUUUGGAACCAACAGGUAUAUUUGGAGAAAAUCCUCAGAGAGACAGUGAGAAAAUCUCCCAGCACUCCAGGACAGGGCUCAGACACACAGGAUUUCAGAAUAGCAGGAAGAAUGAGGCCUCUUGUUAUUAGGAAAUGUCCACCCCUCUGAACCCGCCACAGUCAAACUGGUGGCUUCCCCAGGUGAGCUCACAAAGCCUUGGGCACAUAUAACCAUUCCUUAGCUUUCCCAGCCACAAGCUGCCCUGGGGCACAAUGGUGCUGCCAGGGCAGGCUUCUCCUGCUAAAGAGGCUCUUAAGGAUGCAGCAGGAGCAGUUGCUGCAAGAUUUUGCCACCUCUGAUAUAAAUUCAAUACUCUAUUAUAUCUCAUGGCUUCUUUGUUUAAAGGCCAAAGAAUUCAGGUAAAUGAAUAGAGGUCAAGAAGAAAUGGAAAAAUGUAGUCACAUAACACGCAAAAGAAAAACCAGGGCUGGUAAUCAGCUGCCUCGUGUUUCCGAGAGCAGAUGCCAGCCUUCUCACAUGCUCAGAGUUAAGAUCUGACCACUUUCACAAUGCUUCUCUUUGACAGCAGCAAACCUGACACUUGCUGAGCUAAUCCCCAGUGGUGCCCUCCUAUCCCCCUGCUGCCCAGACUGCCAGGCCCACCUCCCUCUUUUCCAGCAGUCCCAGACCCCUCCGCACACGGCUGGGCUGCAGGCUCCCCUCUUCUUCCCUUUUGAAAGUUUAAGGCUGGGGACUUUCCAUACCUUCCCUGUUUGCAGGAUUCUCAAACUGGUGCUUAAUCUCAUGAUUUUUGCAUGAGUACUGCUGCUGGCUUUAUGCGUCCGUAUCCGAGUGCAGAACAGGGCUGUUAUCUGCUGGGUGAGGCACAGGGCCAUCGCUGCUGGGAUGCAGCAUUCCUGGGCUAUCAGUAGGAAUGAGAUGAGCAGCAUAUGCUUCUGCUAGUGGAAAAAAAAAUAUGAAAAAAAAGACCUUUCCAUCAUCUUUGCUGUCAGAAGGGCAGACUCGAGGUCCUUCAUUCCUAGUAAAGCAUUAAUUUGUGAAGCAGAGAAUGCAAGCUACUUGCUCCCCAGCAGAGCCUGCUCACCCUAUGCCACACAGCAAGACAUGCUUCCCAAAGAACCAGCCUGUGUCCAGCUCCUGGGACACCCC
ensembl:lncRNA